UUUAUAAAACAACCAAUAAAAAGGAAUAGGUUAUGUAUCUCGACACAGUCGUCAUUGCAGGGGUCCUAGUAGUUGUAGCAACAGUCAUUGUUGCGGGUGGUGUUGCCGGAUUCAUCAUCAGGGAUGCAAGAAGAAAGCGCUAAUAGAGUUUUUUUG
rnacentral:sRNA from 1 species